rnacentral:rRNA from 1 species
UACGUAGGGUGCAAGCGUUGUCCGGAAUUAUUGGGCGUAAAGAGCUCGUAGGCGGUCUGUCGCGUCUGCUGUGAAAACUCAGGGCUUAACCCUGAGCUUGCAGUGGGUACGGGCAGACUAGAGUGCGGUAGGGGAGACUGGAAUUCCUGGUGAUAGCGGUGAAAUGCGCAGAUAUCAAGGGAGGAACACCGGUGGGCCGAAAGGCGGGUCUCUGGGCCGGUAAC